AGAUAUUUAGUCUAAAAUACAAGACUAUUAAUUUCGACUUAAUAAAUUAUAGUGAAAAUCUGUAAAUAUCUU
rnacentral:tRNA from 1 species